CAUGAAAGUUGUGGGGUGUGUGUAUGGAUAGACUGAGAGGUGUAUAUACAAAGAAAAAUUUGUCUAUGUAUACUAUAUAGUCUGAAUGUAUAUAAAACCAAUAUACUGCUUAUACCUGAAUAAAAAAGGUACAUUUCUCUUUAUGUAAAAAAAAAUCUUUAGGCUAUUAAUGACAUUUAAUAUGAUUUUUUGUCAAUUGU